UACAGAGGUCUCAAGCGUUGUUCGGAAUUACUGGGCGUAAAGGGUGCGCAGGCCGCGCGGGCAGUCAAAUGUGUAAUUCAGGGGCUCAACCCCUGCACUGCGCUUGAUACUUCCGCGCUCGAGCUCUGGAGAGGAGUCUGGAAUUCUCGGUGUAGCAGUGAAAUGCGUGGAUAUCGAGAAGAACACUUAGGGCGUAGGCAAGACUCUGGACAAAUGCUGACGCUCAUGCACGAAGGCUAGGGUAGCGAACGGG
rnacentral:rRNA from 1 species